UACGUAGGGGGCGAGCGUUGUCCGGAUUUAUUGGGCGUAAAGAGCUCGUAGGCGGUUCGAUAAGUCGGAUGUGAAAUCUCCACGCUCAACGUGGAGGGGCCAUUCGAUACUGUCGUGACUCGAGUCCGGUAGGGGAGUGUGGAAUUCCCGGUGUAGCGGUGAAAUGCGCAGAGAUCCGGAAGAACACCGGUGGCGAAGGCGGUCUGCUGGGCAGUUGCUGACACUGAGGCGCGACAGCGUGGGGAGCAAACAGG
rnacentral:rRNA from 1 species